GAGUACAGCGGCGAACGGGUGAGUAACACGUAAGCAACCUGCCCCUAAAUCCGGGAUAACGCUGGCGACGCGGGGCUAAUACCGGAUGUGGUUGAAAGGUCGCAUGAUUUUUCAAUUAAAGGUGACCUCUUCUUGAAAGUUACUGUUUAGGGAUGGGCUUGCGGACCAUUAGCUUGUUGGUGAGGUAACGGCUCACCAAGGCUGCGAUGGUUAGCCGACCUGAGAGGGUGAUCGGCCACAUUGGGACUGAGAGGCGGNCCANACUCCUACGGGAGGCAGCAGUAGGGAAUCCCGCGCAAUGGACUUAAGUCUGACGCAGCAACGCCGCGUGAGGGAUGAAGGCCUUCGGGUUGUAAACCUCUGUUGAGUGAGAAGAAAAGCAUGCGGGAUAAUACUCCGCGUGUCUGACGGUAUCACUCGAGGAAGCCCCGGCUAACUACGUGCCAGCAGCCGCGGUAAUACGUAGGGGGCAAGCGUUGUUCGGAAUUACUGGGUGUAAAGGGAGCGUAGGUGGAAAGGUAAGUCACGAGUGAAAGAUACCGGGCUUAAACCGUAGUCCGCUUUUAAUACUGUCUUCCU
rnacentral:rRNA from 1 species